rnacentral:rRNA from 1 species
ACCAUGCAGUCGAACGGCAGCACGGGGGCAACCCUGGUGGCGAGUGGCGAACGGGUGAGUAAUACAUCGGAACGUGUCCUGUAGUGGGGGAUAGCCCGGCGAAAGCCGGAUUAAUACCGCAUACGCUCUACGGAGGAAAGGGGGGGAUCUCAGGACCUCCCGCUACAGGGGCGGCCGAUGGCAGAUUAGCUAGUUGGUGGGGUAAAGGCCUACCAAGGCGACGAUCUGUAGCUGGUCUGAGAGGACGACCAGCCACACUGGGACUGAGACACGGCCCAGACUCCUACGGGAGGCAGCAGUGGGGAAUUUUGGACAAUGGGCGAAAGCCUGAUCCAGCAAUGCCGCGUGUGUGAAGAAGGCCUUCGGGUUGUAAAGCACUUUUGUCCGGAAAGAAAACCUCCGCCCUAAUAUGGUGGGGGGAUGACGGUACCGGAAGAAUAAGCACCGGCUAACUACGUGCCAGCAGCCGCGGUAAUACGUAGGGUGCAAGCGUUAAUCGGAAUUACUGGGCGUAAAGCGUGCGCAGGCGGUCCGCUAAGACAGAUGUGAAAUCCCCGGGCUUAACCUGGGAACUGCAUUUGUGACUGGCGGGCUAGAGUAUGGCAGAGGGGGGUAGAAUUCCACGUGUAGCAGUGAAAUGCGUAGAGAUGUGGAGGAAUACCGAUGGCGAAGGCAGCCCCCUGGGCCAAUACUGACGCUCAUGCACGAAAGCGUGGGGAGCAAACAGGAUUAGAUACCCUGGUAGUCCACGCCCUAAACGAUGUCAACUAGUUGUUGGGGAUUCAUUUCCUUAGUAACGUAGCUAACGCGUGAAGUUGACCGCCUGGGGAGUACGGUCGCAAGAUUAAACC